UCCGUAGGUUGAAACUUGCGGAGUGAUCAUUACCGAGUUAUACAACUCAUCAACCCUGUGAACAUACCUAAAACGUUGCCUCGGCGGGAACAGACGGCCCCGUAACACGGGCCGCCCCCGCCAGAGGACCCCCUAACUCUGUUUCUAUAAUGUUUCUUCUGAGUAAACAAGCAAAUAAAUUAAAACUUUCAACAACGGAUCUCUUGGCUCUGGCAUCGAUGAAGAACGCAGCGAAAUGCGAUAAGUAAUGUGAAUUGCAGAAUUCAGUGAAUCAUCGAAUCUUUGAACGCACAUUGCGCCCGCCAGUAUUCUGGCGGGCAUGCCUGUUCGAGCGUCAUUACAACCCUCAGGCCCCCGGGCCUGGCGUUGGGGAUCGGCGGAAGCCCCCUGCGGGCACAACGCCGUCCCCCAAAUACAGUGGCGGUCCCGCCGCAGCUUCCAUUGCGUAGUAGCUAACACCUCGCAACUGGAGAGCGGCGCGGCCACGCCGUAAAACACCCAACUUCUGAAUGUUGACCUCGAAUCAGGUAGGAAUACCCGCUGAACUUAAGCAUAUCAUAUAAACGCGAAGAAA
rnacentral:rRNA from 1 species